rnacentral:pre_miRNA from 1 species
CAUGGGGUGGCGGUGUCCCUCAGCCUGGAUUGCGAGAGGGCUCAGGCCAGGCCGAGGGACCCAACCAGUACGGG